rnacentral:rRNA from 1 species
GACGAACGCUGGCGGCGUGCUUAACACAUGCAAGUCGAACGGUGAAGCGCUUUCCUUUUUGGUUGGUGUGGAUGAGUGGCGAACGGGUGAGUAACACGAGCGUAACCUGCCCUCUUCUGCUGGAUAACCGCAUGAAAGUUUGGCUAAUACGGGAUAUUCUGGUUCUGUCGCAUGAUGGGUCCGGGAAAGCUCUUGUGUCUGUGGGGGACGGGCUCGCGUCCUAUCUGUUUGUUGGUGGGGUGCUGGCCUACCAAGGCGGUGAGGAGUCGCCGGCCUGGGGGGGUGGACGGUCCUAGAGGGGAGGCGCCCCCGCGCAGACUACGACAGGAGGCAGCAGUGAAGAAUAGUGAACAGUGGGAGCUAGCCUGCAGCAGCGACGCGGCGUGAGGGAUGGCGGCCGGCGGGUGAUGAACCUCUUUCGCCAGUGAAGCGCGGCUGCCUCGUUUGUGGGUGGGUUGACGGUAGCUGGAUAAGAAGCACCGGCUAACUACGUG